UACGUAGGGGGCUAGCGUUGUCCGGAAUCAUUGGGCGUAAAGCGCGUGUAGGCGGUCCGGUAAGUCCGCUGUGAAAGUCGGGGGCUCAACCCUCGAAUGCCGGUGGAUACUGUCGGGCUAGAGUGCAGGAAGGAGGCGAGUGGAAUUCCUGGUGUAGCGGUGAAAUGCGCAGAUAUCAGGAGGAACACCAAUUGCGAAGGCAGCUCGCUGGGACGUUACUGACGACUGGAGACGCGAAAGCGUGGGGAGAAACAGG
rnacentral:rRNA from 1 species